GCCAUAUCUACCCACUUUUCAAACUAUGAAAAUCAGCAAAGCACUAAGAAAAAGAAUGUUCCUGCUGUUGAUGUUCUUGUGUGACGCCGGAGCCUUUCCUGCAGAGGGCAGCUUUAAGCUAAGGCUAUGUGGAACCCUUCCCAGACUCCCAGAGAAGGCAGCCCUUAGUGAAAAGAACAUUCAGGGCAGCUCCCAAGGAUGGAAGGACUGAAGGCAGGGACAAGGACCUGGUAGGACACACCCAUAAUAACAGCUGGGGUCUACUGGAGGCAAGCCCUGGUCUGAGUGCUGGAUGAGAAUGAACAGGAUCGCCUGACAGGUGCUGUGAUUGCCUCACUGCAGGAACCAUGGGCGAAGGGUGUGAAGAUGGCUGAGCACCCAGGGGGACCUCCUGUUAUGGGCCAUGGCUGGCCAGAAUGAUGUCUGGCUUCUGUGUCCUGGUAUCAGCCACUCUUGUAUGGCACCUGAGUGAGUGGCA
rnacentral:lncRNA from 1 species